UUAUGGUCAUAUCACGUUAAAACACCGGUCCCGCACGAUCACCGGAGUUAAGCAACGUCGAGCUUGGUGAGUACCUACAUGGGUGACCGCUUGAGAAUACCAUGUGCUGUAAG